rnacentral:rRNA from 1 species
AGAGUUUGAUUCUGGCUCAGGAUGAACGCUGGCGGCGUGCCUAACACAUGCAAGUCGAACGAAGACAUACCGACGGAAUCCUUCGGGAGGAAGAUGGUAUGGACUGAGUGGCGGACGGGUGAGUAACGCGUGGGUAACCUGCCCUGUACAGGGGGACAACAGUUAGAAAUGACUGCUAAUACCGCAUAAGCGCACAGUACCGCAUGGUACAGUGCGAAAAACUCCGGUGGUACAGGAUGGGCCCGCGUCUGAUUAGUUAGUUGGCGGGGUAACGGCCCACCAAGACGACGAUCAGUAGCCGGCUUGGGAGAGUGAACGGCCACAUUGGGACUGAGACACGGCCCAAACUCCUACGGGAGGCAGCAGUGGGGAAUAUUGCACAAUGGGGGAAACCCUGAUGCAGCAACGCCGCGUGAGUGAAGAAGUAUUUCGGUAUGUAAAGCUCUAUCAGCAGGGAAGAAAAUGACGGUACCUGACUAAGAAGCCCCGGCUAACUACGUGCCAGCAGCCGCGGUAAUACGUAGGGGGCAAGCGUUAUCCGGAUUUACUGGGUGUAAAGGGAGCGCAGGCGGUGCGGCAAGUCAGAUGUGAAAACCCGGGGCUCAACCCCGGGAUUGCAUUUGAAACUGUCGGACUAGAGUGCCGGAGAGGUAAGUGGAAUUCCUAGUGUAGCGGUGAAAUGCGUAGAUAUUAGGAGGAACACCAGUGGCGAAGGCGGCUUACUGGACGGUAACUGACGCUGAGGCUCGAAAGCGUGGGGAGCAAACAGGAUUAGAUACCCUGGUAGUCCACGCCGUAAACG